rnacentral:lncRNA from 12 species
GUGAAUUCCCACCUUUGUACCUGAGGCAGCAGCACUGGACACCCCCAAACUUGUUUUGUUUUGGAUUUCUUUAGAUUUUUCCACCUUGGGAUCUGGAAGUUUGGUAAACACUGGCUGCAGCCUCCCUGGGUGGGGUGGUGAGGUCGGGUUUGUGCUCUCUGCCUCCAGAAAGGUUUGGGCUGUGAGUCAGCAGCCAAGUUCAGGGAUUGCAUUUUCUGUGGGGAGGCACAAAAUGGAUUUGGAGACGCCUCGGGCCGAGCUGGGGCUUCCAGAGCAAAGCAGAGCCCCCAGGAAAUCUCCGUGUGGAGGGGAUUGUCCCCGGGGGGAGCAGCAGCAGCACCUGAGCUGUCACAGCCCAUCCAGGAAACAGCAGUGUCGUUUCUCCUCGUCAGCCACCCCAGCGAGGGAGUUCUCAUCAGCUCAAGUGACAACAAAUGCAGGUGCUCCUCUGCUUUUUUCUGUGCAGGGCGAGUCCUCCCAGCAAACUUCGGGAGGCAGCAGCUGUUUCCAGUGAGAAAAACACCGUCCUGCUGAACCCAAGCUGAAAUGUGACGUGGAAAUGGG